UACGGAGGGUGCAAGCGUUAAUCGGAAUUACUGGGCGUAAAGCGUGCGCAGGCGGUUAUGCAAGACAGAUGUGAAAUCCCCGGGCUUAACCUGGGAACCGCAUUUGUGACUGCAUAGCUGGAGUACGGCAGAGGGGGAUGGAAUUCCGCGUGUAGCAGUGAAAUGCGUAGAUAUGCGGAGGAACACCGAUGGCGAAGGCAGUCCCCUGGGCCUGUACUGACGCUCAUGCACGAAAGCGUGGGGAGCAAACAGG
rnacentral:rRNA from 1 species